UACAGAGGAGCCAAGCGUUGUCCGGAUUGACUGGGCGUAAAGCGCACGCAGGCGGCUGCGCGCGUGGGGUGUGAAAUCUGGCCGCUUAACGGCCAGGCGCCAUCCCAUACGGCGCGGCUUGAGCCUUGCAGAGGGCGGUGGAAUUGCCGGUGUAGUGGUGAAAUGCGUAGAGAUCGGCAGGAACACCCAGGGGGAAACCAGCCACCUGGGCAAGCGCUGACGCUGAGGUGCGAGAGCGUGGGGAGCGAACCGG
rnacentral:rRNA from 1 species